CAUCACCCAAAUGUUUUUCUCGUUGGCCGCUUGCUUUGACACCCUGUUUAUGUACGCCUCCUUUAAUAAAUUCAACAAGAAUGUGCACAAAGACGUGAUUAUAAUAGAUUCGAUAACUUCCAUCUUGGCUGGCUGUAUAAUCUUUGGAAUUUUGGCUACCUGGCUCAUGACACCAGUACCUCGGACAUUUUGCAGGUGGUUAGGGGUGGAGCUGGCAUUCAUUUCAUACCCGGAGGCGAUUGCCAAGUUCAAAUUAAAUCAUCAAAAGCACAUUUAGGUGUUCUCUUUAGUACUACACUGGCAUUGUA